rnacentral:lncRNA from 1 species
GGCAGUGUCUGUAUCCCCUGAGAAAGUGGGAACCCUUUUACGAAACAAGAUGGACAUGAUUUUUCCUUAUUCCUUCCUGCCAACUUACUGGCCCACUUAUUCCUUACUGGCCUACCAGAAGCGAGUGAAAGAGGCUGCUUGCCAGGAGGUGAGAGGAACCAGAGGACAGUGGUAAUGCAAUGCGUUUUGGGUUUCAAAUACCAAAAUUGGGACAGUGGAAAAUUCCUCAACUGAUUUGGAUGACCAGUAAUAUCGACUGUAACUACUGGGGAUUUCUUAGAACAGUUCUCAAAGGAAUACACCUUACAUUAUGACCCAGGACACAAACAUACACAAAUGUCUACAAACGUACAUAAAUCACCAAUUUAUUGUAAAAGGAUGUAACUCAGAAAAGCCAGAUGGAAAAGAUGCACAGGACAAGGGACUACAGACCCUUGGAAAGGGAAACGGAU